AUUGAACGCUGGCGGCAUGCCUUACACAUGCAAGUCGAACGGUAACGGGCCUUCGGGUGCCGACGAGUGGCGAACGGGUGAGUAAUGCAUCGGAACGUACCUUUCAGUGGGGGAUAACGUAGCGAAAGUUACGCUAAUACCGCAUAUUCUGUGAGCAGGAAAGCAGGGGAUCGCAAGACCUUGCGCUGAUUGAGCGGCCGAUGUCAGAUUAGCUAGUUGGUGAGGUAAAGGCUCACCAAGGCGACGAUCUGUAGCGGGUCUGAGAGGAUGAUCCGCCACACUGGAACUGAGACACGGUCCAGACUCCUACGGGAGGCAGCAGUGGGGAAUUUUGGACAAUGGGGGGCAACCCUGAUCCAGCCAUGCCGCGUGAGUGAAGAAGGCCUCGGGUUGU
rnacentral:rRNA from 1 species